CAAUUCCAUUAUGGUUUCUUCGAAUGCAUAUCAACGGGAAUAGUGCAAAUGCACAUGUUGCAAUAUAUGCAAGUCAUUUACUUCAUAGUUCAACAAUAUUACCACAAUAUAUGGAACCAUAUACGUCAAAGUGAAGCAAACAACUUUGAAUAUCAAAUUAUAUGGUUAGUGUAAGAUACUAAAGAUUUAAACAACAAAGCCAAAGCAUGUGGACUACAACAUCAUGUUUACUUGUCUUCACCAAAGAUCAAAAGUGAGAGCUAAGCACGAUCCAACGAUACACCAUCUAAUCAUAAAAAACCU
rnacentral:lncRNA from 7 species